ACUUGGAACCGGGAGAGGUAAGAGGUACUACAGGGGUAGGAGUGAAAGUCUUGGUAAAUCCCUGUGGGACCACCUGUGGCGAAGGCGUCUUACCAGAACGGGUUCGACGGUGAGGGACGAAAGCUGGGGGCACGAACCGGAUUAGAUACCCGGGUAGUCCCAGCCGUAAACGAUGCUCGCUAGGUGUCAGGCAUGGCGCGACCGUGUCUGGUGCCGCAGGGAAGCCGUGAAGCGAGCCACCUGGGAAGUACGGCCGCAAGGCUGAAACUUAAAGGAAUUGGCGGGGGAGCACGACAACGGGUGGAAGCCUGCGGUUUAAUUGGACUCAACGCCGGACAACUCACCGGGGGCGACAGCAAUAUGUAGGCCAAGCUGAAGACUUUGCCUGAAUCGCUGAGUAGAGGUGCAUGG
rnacentral:rRNA from 1 species